rnacentral:misc_RNA from 1 species
UCUCUACCCUCACAGUGCGCACCAACCUCAUCCCCUCUCUCUCAGUCCAAAACUUACUCACUCCACUCAUUUCAUCUCAAGGCCUCUAUAGUCCAACACCCCGUUACCAAACUCCCCACUACAGCUGAAACACGGCGAAACAGCCUCUAUCUUUAUGGCCUCGAAACUCUCUGCUGCUGCAAAGGGUGGACUGAUGCAAAGAUCCAAAUUCAGGUCAGGAAUUCUCAUCGCCUUCUCCUCGCUCCUACUCUUACCAUCGCCAAUCAACAUCUUCUCAUCUUGCUUCUCGAAUGAAAUGGUUAUGUUCGAGACGUGCCCGGUUACAACCUGAUGAGUCGCCGG